GACGAACGCUGGCGGCGUGCUUAACACAUGCAAGUCGAACGAAGUGGCGACCGGGUGCGUACUACGUGAGUAACCUUCCCUACUUUUUGGGAUAAGCCUUGGAAACGGGGUCUACUACCGAAUUAAGGGGGAUGGGCUCUCUGCCUAUCAGCUUGUUGGUUGGGUGAUGGCCUACCAAGGCGACGACGGUUAGCCGGCCGUAGAGGGCUACCGGCCACAUUGGGACUGAGAUACCGCCCAAACUCCUACGGGAGGCAGCAGUGGGGAAUAUUGCACAAUGGGGGAAACCCUGAUGCAGCAACGCCGCGUGCGGGAGGACGGACUUCGGGUUGUAAACCGCUUUCAGCCAUGACGCGGUAGUGGCAGAAGAAGCACCGGCUAACUACGUGCCAGCAGCCGCGGUAAUAC
rnacentral:rRNA from 1 species